rnacentral:rRNA from 1 species
AGAGUUUGAUCAUGGCUCAGAACGAACGCUGGCGGCGUGCCUAACACAUGCAAGUCGAACGAGAAAGGGGCUUCGGCCCUGAGUAAAGUGGCGCACGGGUGAGUAACACGUGGGUAACCUGCCUCUGAGAUCGGGAUAACCUGUCGAAAGACGGGCUAAUACCGGAUAAGACCACGACUCCUGAGGGGAUUGAGGUCAAAGGUAGCCUCUGCAUGCAAGCUAUCACUUAGAGAUGGGCCUGCGUACCAUUAGCUAGUUGGUAGGGUAACGGCCUACCAAGGCAAAGAUGGGUAGCUGGUCUGAGAGGAUGAUCAGCCACACUGGAACUGAGACACGGUCCAGACUCCUACGGGAGGCAGCAGUGGGGAAUAUUGCGCAAUGGGCGAAAGCCUGACGCAGCAACGCCGCGUGGGUGAUGAAGGCCUUCGGGUCGUAAAGCCCUGUCGGAGGGAACGAAUGCUCUUGAGGUUAAUAGCCUCGAGAGGUGACGGUACCCUCAAAGGAAGCACCGGCUAACUCUGUGCCAGCAGCCGCGGUAAUAC